UACGAAGGGAGCUAGCGUUGCUCGGAAUCACUGGGCGUAAAGCGCACGUAGGCGGAUUGUUUAGUCAGGGGUGAAAUCCCGGGGCUCAACCUCGGAACUGCCUCUGAUACUGGCAAUCUCGAGUCCGAUAGAGGUGGGUGGAAUUCCUAGUGUAGAGGUGAAAUGCGCAGAUAUCAGGAGGAACACCGGUGGCGAAGGCGGGUCUCUGGGCCGAUAUCGACGCUGAGGAGCAAAAGCGUGGGGAGCGAACAGG
rnacentral:rRNA from 1 species